GACGGAGGGUGCUAGCGUUGUUCGGAAUUACUGGGCGUAAAGGGCGCGUAGGCGGCCCUGUCAGUCGGGUGUGAAAGCCCUCGGCUCAACCGAGGAAGUGCGCCCGAAACUGCAUGGCUUGAGUACCGGAGAGGAUGGCGGAAUUCCCCAAGUAGAGGUGAAAUUCGUAGAUAUGGGGAGGAACACCGGUGGCGAAGGCGGCCAUCUGGACGGAUACUGACGCUGAGACGCGAAAGCGUGGGGAGCAAACAGG
rnacentral:rRNA from 1 species